GCUUCCGGCGGCCGCGCUGCGCGGCCGUGUUGGGCGGGAGGCCCGGGGAGAUGCGGUCGCCGGCGCUGCUGCGGCUCCUGGUGGGGCCGCUGCUGGUGUUACUGGUGCUGCUGGAGGCCGCCCGCUGCGGGGAGGCUGCGGCCCCAGGCCCCCGGGACGCCGCCACCGCUUCCCCGCGCCCAACGGAGGCGGCCGGCGGGGCUUCCACGCGGAGCAGCAGCAACAGCAGCAGCAGCAGUAGCCGCCUGGCCGAGGUGUCGGCGCCGCCCGAGCAGGGCCAGCCCAUGACCCAGCGCGCCCUCUCCGUGCUGGUGCUGGCCAGCGCCGCCCUCAUCGUCUACUUCGUGAUCCGGACCGUGCGGCUCAGAAGGCAAAAUAGAAAAACCCGAAGAUACGGAGUUCUGGAUACGAACAUAGAAAACAUGGAGUUGACUCCGUUAGAACAAGAUGAUGAUGAUGAUGAUACAACACUAUUUGAUGCCAGCCAUCCUCGAAGUUGGAGAAGGGAUGUCAAGAUCACUUGAAUUUUAAAUGGGCAAGAAUUUAGUGGUCAAGAAGAUAAACACCAUUUGUCUUCAACAUGUGAGUUCCAGAGAAAUGAAGAGGAAGAGAAGUACGUGCCUUUCAAUGAAAGAACUUAAUCUUAGAACCAGAGAAGAAGACUGCUUUAUGGGAGAAAUAAGAAGCAAGAGGGUAUGCAAGUGGGGGGAAACUAAUUUAAUUUGUGUAUUUUAUGGCAUCCUUUUGCAUCUUGCAAUAAGUAAUUAUCAAUUUGUUGUAUCUUUUUGUAUAUAGAGAUUCUCAUUGUAUAACCUAUGGGGAGAGAAUACUAACUGUGAUAAGAUAAAAACCUAUUUAAAAGGGAGAUUACUUGUAAAACAGGGUAUUUUUUGCUUGUUACAAGUCUUGUAUGCCAUUACAAGUGUGGUAUACACUUUUUUUUCUACAGUAACCUGGAAUGUUAAUUUUUUCUUCUGAUAUUAAAUUGUAAGUAAAUAAAGCCACUGUGGACUUCUCAGAAUUGUUAGAACAUUAUUUUAAUUGAGGAGAUGACAUAUUGUUUACCAAUAAAAAGCCAAACCACUGUCUUCUGUGUUGAGAAUUAAAAAAGCUGAAUUAACAUGUUUUGUUCAUGUAAACUUCAGUGAAAAAAUAAAAUGUGUUUACAGUG